GGAGAGGUGGCCGAGUGGUCGAAGGCGCUCCCCUGCUAAGGGAGUAGGCGUGUUAUAGCGUCUCGAGGGUUCGAAUCCCUUCCUCUCCGCCA
rnacentral:tRNA from 1 species